rnacentral:rRNA from 1 species
AUGGCCGCCACCCCCACACCCCUCCUCCUCCUCGCCCUCCCCUUCCUCUUCGCCGCCCUCGCCGCGGCCCAGCCCCGCCCCUUCGGAGGGGCGCCGCCGGGGUACGCGCGGUACGUGACCGACGCGACGGCGACGGGCGUGGAGGAGGAGUACGACUACAUCGUGGUGGGGGGCGGCGCGGCGGGGUGCCCGCUGGCGGCAACGCUCGCGGGGCCCGGCGGGGGUCGCGUGCUGCUGCUCGAGCGCGGCGGCGCGCCCGCCGAGUUCCCGGCGCUCGCCACCGCCGGCGGCUUCGUCAGGACACUCGCGCUCGCCGACCCCUCGCCGGACUCCGACGCGCCCGCGCAGGCCUUCAGCUCCGAGGACGGCGUCCCCAACGUGCGCGCGCGGGUGCUCGGCGGCGGCACCGCCAUCAACGCCGGCUUCUACUCCCGCGCGCACCCCGGCUGGUUCCACGGCCACGGGGAGGACGCCGAGGUGCCGGAUUGGGACAUGCGGCUGGUGAACUCAUCAUACGAGUGGGUGGAGCAAGAGCUGACAUUCCAGCCGGAGGUGCACGGGUGGCAGGCGGCAGUGAGGGCCGCGCUGCUGGAAGCGAACGUGACGCCGUGGAACGGCUUCACGGUGGAACAUGUCACUGGCACAAAGAUUGGUGCCACCACCUUUGAUGCAUCAGGACGCCGCCACAGCGCCGCGGACCUCCUUGCUUUCGCCCGCCCUGGCCGUCUCCAUGUCGCUGUCCGUGCUGCCGUUACACGCGUCAUAAUCAACCCUAUUGAUCCUGCCGCACGCCGUGGAAGGUCACGACCAGCGGUGGCAGCGGUUGGCGUCGUGUACCAGGACCGUCUUCUCCAGCAGCACCAUGCCCUGCUGCGUCCAGGUGGGGAGGUCAUACUUUCUGCAGGUACACUUGGAAGUCCACAGUUGCUGCUUCUCAGUGGCGUUGGUCCUGCUAGCGACCUUGCAUCCCUCGGCAUCCCUGUUUCUGUUGAUUCCCCUGACGUUGGGAAGCACAUGUUCGACAACCCUCGCAACGGCAUCUCCAUCAUCCCAUCAGUCCCCAUCGACCACUCCCUCAUCCAGGUGGUCGGCAUCCCUUCUGCCAACGGCACUGCCUCCUACCUCGAGGCUGCAUCAUACAUCGUCCCCGUUUCUCCCAUGCUGCGCCCCGCCGGCCCUUUUAUCAGCCCGACUUCACCACUCUAUGUCACCAUGGCAACCAUCAUGGAGAAGGUCCCUGGCCCGUUAUCCGAGGGCUCGCUCUGGCUAUCAUCACCUAAUCCCAUGGAGACCCCCUCGGUGCGCUUCGACUACUUCAGCCGCCCCGAGGACCUGGCACAGUGUGUCGUCGGCGUGCGCCGCGUGGCACAGGUGCUCCAGAGCAGGACGAUGGACAUAUUCCGUUCGGCCGCAGGAACGUCGAGCCAGGGCAGGAGAGGGCGUGCUAGGAGGGACUUCAGGAUCGUUGGGGCGACCCUGCCACUCGAUUGGAGCACAAACAACACUGCUGUGGCAGAUUUCUGCAGGCGGACCGUGGCCACGCUGUGGCAUUACCAUGGAGGGUGUGUGGUUGGAAGGGUGGUUGACAAGGAUUUCCGGGUCAUGGGCACGCAGUCUCUUCGCGUGGUGGAUGGGUCGACGUUCAGCGUGACGCCCGGGACGAAUCCUCAGGCCACGGUGAUGAUGAUGGGCAGGUACAUGGGGCUGAAGAUGAUCGCGGAGCGGCACAGCAGAAGGCUAGUGAACACAUCAUCAUACAGUGAACUGCAGGAGUAA